CAGGGGGCUGGCCCGGGAGUCAGGGAGGUCCGGCCGCUCGGGUGCGCGCUGUGCGCGGCUGCCAUUUUGGAGUCGGGCAGCUGAGACGGCGGCCGGGUCCGGCCCGGGGGAAAGGGAGGAGCCAGUCAGAUGAGAAGAUGGAGGUUCAAAGUAUUGAAGAGAAAUGGCCAUUGUCACAAACCUGAAGAAGAGCUUCGCUGUUAACUCCACCCCAAUCCUCUUUGAUGGCAGUUACUUGAUCCCCCUGAAUAUCGUCUGUAAAAGGAUCACAUGAGAAGAUCAGUGAUGACGUCUGCAGAGUGACUCGCAAGGAGUGGGAUGAUGGACGCUGAAUGGCUGAUGGAAGAUGCCACAGCUCAAGACUGGAGCCCCCCAUGGACUGGCAGAAUCCUGGUCCUAAAUCCGAGUUGAGGCACCCAGAGAUGCUGCUGGACGACUGAUACGUGCCUGAUGUGGUCUCUUCGCCAGCUUCUUUUUACCUUCAAUGGCAAUUCCCUAGGGAAGCCAUAUUACAAAGUCUCAGGAUCCUGUACUCCUUCUUCAUACUGCUUUUCACAAUCUGAAUUCAAAAUUUAAUUUCUGUCUUCCUCACCUGACCACAAAGUCCCUAAAGGCAGGGACCAUGUCCGUCUUGUUCACUGUUGUAUAUUCAGCAGCCAAAUCAGUGCCCGGCACACAGUGGGCGUUCAACAAAUGCGUGUUGCAUGAAAUGAAGGAAUGAAUCAAAUGACCAUCAAAGGUACUGGGGGAAGACCGAAUUCUGUAAGGAGGGUUAGGCAGCAACGCGCCACUAGAUGGCGCUGUUACCCUGCUGUGAACUAUCCGGCAGGCUUUCUCACACCAAGUAUGGGUGGCAGCCUCAAUUUCCAUUUUGAAUUGAAGCGAUUAUGCUGGAUUAUAACAUCUGUCUUUUUUUUUUUCAAAGAUUUUAUUUUAAUUAUUUGACAGAGAGAGACAGACACAGCGAGAGAGGGAACACAAGCAGGAGGAGCGGGGGAGGGAGAAGAAGACCUUAAGCAGGGAGCCUGACGCAGGGCUCGAUCCCAGGACUCUGGGAUCAUGACCUGAGCCGAAGGCAGACGCUCAAUGACUGAGCUACCCAGGCGCCCCUAUAACAUCUGUCUUUUAUUGAGCAUCACAGCAGGCAAUUUUACAAUACAUUUUCUACAAUUCUGACAAUAACCACAAGAUAGAGUAUCUCAUUUUACCGAUGAAGAAAUAAAUCCCCAGUAAUUUUAAGUAACUUUUCUAAAGAUGCACAGCUGAAGGCCCUGAUGUGUUUGGCCUCCAAGCCUGUGUUCUUUUCAGUUUACCCCACGGCUUCCCCUCCAGCAGUCUGAUGUAACCAAUGAACAGCCUUCCCACUGUGAUAGGUACCCACCCUUCCCCCCUUUUGUCCUCACAGCGGGUGGUUUUGUCACAUGUCCAAUCACUAUCCACACAGCCUUUGCUUUCUAAAAGGUCAGCUUACUGGGCGGGGAGAUGACAGGCAGAACAGACUCAAUGUUUCUGAGACCAGAGGUUUAAGUCUUGAGCUCAUGGAUGGGUUAGGUGUAGUGUUCUGAGGAAGGAGGAAAUAACCUUCAAUUUAUCAAUCAGUCAUCAAUAGUUCUUCAUUCAGCAUCUGUGUUGCACACACAGGGUUACGAUCUGGUUGGGCAUCUAAGACAUGCAUGUAUGGGACGUAAUACACUGCCUUACGCAGGUGCCUUGUGGAGAUACAUGCAGUAAGAACGCUAGGCAUUCAGAGGCCAGAAGGAUUCCUGUGACUGGGGCGGUCACAGAUCUCAAAGUCACGCUUGACCUUCACAGGAAAUGCAUUUUGGGAGAUAGGGGGCAAGUAAACUGGUCUCUCGCUACAAAAGGUGUAGACCAAGGACCAGCGGGUUUGACACCACCUGAGAGCUUGUUAGAAACGCAGAAUCUCUGGUCUGGCUUCAGAUCUCAUGAACCAGAAUCUGCAUUUUAACAGGCUCCCCAGAUGAUUCGCACACAUUAAAGACUUUGGGGGACCAAGUAUUUGUAUUUAUAUGUCCCUUUAAAAUGAAGUAAUACUCUAAAACACUCUUUAAUUUCACUGUUUAGUUUUAAUUUUGAACUUUGCUUUUCUCCUACAAGAAUGGUACUAAAUAUUCUUAAACUUCUGCCAUUCCUCUCUACAAGAACCUAUGGAGAUUCCUACUAGCUAAAUUUUCUGGGCCCUGGCGAUUUACUAACUGGAAGGAAAGUUCUUAUCCAAAGCACUUUUCCAAGUAUUUGUGCAAUGAGAAUUGCUCAAGAAACUAGGCUUUGAAAAAUCCUAAAGGGUAUUUUUUGAAUCAAAUCACUAAAGGAAGUUUACUUUAUGUUCAAUGCAAUUUUGGUACAUUCUAGUUCUUUGCAGAUGGUUAACCUGUGUAUGGCAUAUGAUGAAACCAUAAUACUGGAUCAAGUCUCAUCAGGUCACUCCCUACCCCCUUCCACCUAUCAUUCUGGGUAAAUGAAAGUUGUCAGAACGUAGAAUCCGUGAUAACUGUGAUGAAGUCAGACACUCAGACACUAGCAUAUUGACAAUACUUGAUUUACCAUCUCAAUAAGAAGUGAUGAUGCCCCGUGUCUAAUUGUGGCCCUAUUUCUCUUCUUCACUUGUGGAAGUUGGGUGAGUCCAUUCAGAAAGGCAGCCUGGUAUAUAGAAAAGAGCACGAGACAACCAGGUGAGACCACAUGGGCUCUGGUCUGACAUACAUGAGCUGUGUAGUGUCACCUCUCUAGGUCUCUCUUCCCCAUCUAUCCCCUGGGAGGUGGAACAAGGUAAUUGCUAAGAUUCCUUCCUGGUUUAGCAUUAUAUGAGCCUACUUAACUAGGAUUUCGGGCAUGGGUAGUUAGUUAUUCAUUAGACUCAGAUUAUAUACCCCCAAAUAGAAAUGGCCCAUGCUGUCCUUACUUACAGAUAUAAAAGUUGAGAAGGCUGGUUACCAUAGCAAUUCACCUUCACGGAGUCAUUUCAUAAGUUCGAUUCUGUAAAGUGACAAUAUUAUGUACUGGCACCUGCAAACUCCCUAAUGUUUCCCUUGCUUCCAUUCUUGCUCCGGGCUUCGGUGCCAAGAGUUGUCCUUAUCUGGAGAAGCAAUCAGAGUUCUCAAGCUGCCUUUCGGUCUGCUAGAACAGAAGGUGCUGACAGGGUGGGAGGAAAGGCAGGCCUCCUUUCAGUUUACUAAUUCUGCAGCCGCCCUUCACAAACGCCAGCAAAUAUUUUGCGAUGUUGCAAGGUGUUACGAGAAGUGAAAAGCAAGCUGUGAUUCAGCUGGUAUGAAGACUUCGCAAAUAAAAAAGAGUGAUCUGUUUUGCAGCAAACUAUUAUUUCUGCCAGAGCCCACAGACUGGAAUACUAAAAGAGGUAUUUCUGCAAGACACUGCCAUCAUACAUAGUGGGUUUUCCAAAUAAGACCAAUUUCAAAUUCAUUGGCUCAGCAGGCCCCCACCUGUGGCCCUCAGACCCCUGGGAGCUGUGGGAUUACCUCAAGGGGUGUGCAUGUUCUUUCUGUAGACUGAAUGAAAAUAUGCUCAUCCACAUGGAUUGUGUCUCAAAUAUGCGUCAAUGUUGUAAUGAAUAAAAGAAAUUAACUUACAAUGUUACUAAAUAUAUAUUAGCCUUUUGUUAUGU